ensembl:lncRNA
UGAUUUCACUUUUAUCGCACCUGUCAAGGCAUGCCAAGCAUGAUGGUCGACAUAAGCGCUUACCAAAUCUUUCCAGAGUUUCUAAAUAGCAUACAAAUGAGAAUAAAUCGUUUCGGUCAUGCGUUAAAAGUGGUGAUUGGCAGCUGAUCACAUAUUCUGCAGGUGUGCUUGGUUGCUAAGUAACGCACAGAAUGGUCGGGGGACGAUAAAGGCAGAACUUGAAGCAUUAGAUUAAAGAUACUCUCUCCUAAUUAUAAUUUUUACUAGUAACUCAUCAGCUGAAGCAGGUUUAUAGUGUAGCAGUUCACUGAAUGGUUUGUGAUUUGGUCUGAAAAAAUAUGUUAUUUGGAAAUGGAUCGAUACAAGCGCCAGAUUAGACUCCGUUGUGACCGUGGAUUACCUAUCAAACGAGAUACACCCGUGAAACCAGCGCUCACCAGACGAGACAGUAAGAAAAACACUGUAAUACACAUUUUAACGCAGUCUACAUUUAAAUACAUUAAACUUCAGAGCACAGGAAACUUCUAUUCCGCAAGCAUUAUGAAGCUUUUCCAGAAGAACCUGAGAGGGAAGUCACGAAUGACUCCACUGUCAAACCAAAGAGCCCAGUAUCUUGGAAACCUUCAAUUUCUCCAUUGGGGAAGACCUGCUGGGUCUCCAUCGUCACAUAAAAAACUCCACUUUGUUGGAUGUCAGCCACGCUGAGAGCAUACACAUGCAUCAUCCCCCUAACCUUUCUACCAUCCUGGAUGCCUCCACUAUUCUUGCUGAAAAGACCUGUGAGAUCAGCAACAACAGAGAAGCCGGAUCUGCUGCUAAAAUACAAAAUGACUCGUUGAAAUCAGACAAAGCCUUGAAGAGGAAAACCCCACCAAGACUCAGCUACAGAAGACCUAUCUUGUGUAAGAAGAAGGUUUCAUUCAAAAGCCCUGUAAUUGCUGAGACCUUUGAUGGAAAAUGCAUCCCAGCUUCAAAGUUAAUGACUCACAGUCUCAACAAGCCAUUGCAAAUGUCCAGCCCACCUGAGGAUUUGAAGCCUGAUGCAGAGAUCGGCUCGGAAGAGGAAACAUUACCUCUGACCAUGUUGCUAAAAAGGUCUGUGAAAACUAGCCAUAGGGAACCCAAGCUCUUUGACUUUGCCACUGACAAGGAGAGAGAUACUCUCUUUCAGGUCAUGAGAGAAAGAUGUGUGAAACUCAGAAGUGUUACUUUAUUUCCCUUCACAGCUGUUUAGUGCACCGAACCAUCUUUCCUGCCACAUUUAAAGCUAGAAUAUCGCAUGCAUAAAACUCCGGCUUUACCCCCUCAUCUGGAUUAGAUUAGUCUAAUUGUAAAAAGUCCUAUAUAAAAAUGGUCUGUUAGUACUUAAAAGAAGGAGAGAAGAAUCGAUGGAACAAACUUUAAAUAACAUUUAAGUACUAAUUAAAGAGACAUGCUAGACUGGCGUUUAGGUUAAUAUGAAAAAAGUGUGAUGUGAAAUGACCACUAGAUGGCACAUAUGCAUUUACCUUGAAAAAACAUUGUCUGUCUUGUCCAUACAGUGAGCUUUUCCACCUUUAAAUAUGAUAUAUAUGUAUAUGUGUGUAUAUAUAUGUUUUUUGCUUGUUGUGCUUGUCUAUAUUUGUAUUUAUUCUCGUAACAUGUGUUACUAUAGACUUUCUAAAUGAAGAAUGAUUUAAAAGCAAAGUUUAAAUGUAUAAGAUAUGUAUUUUAGGUAUACUCCUUCCAUAUUUAUGUAUAUUUGUCUUUGUCCUCAAAAUCUGCAUAUGUAUUUGAUUCAGAAAGUGUCUAAAGCAAAUAAAAAUACAAUAAAAUGCCUGUUGGGGCGAUC